rnacentral:rRNA from 1 species
AGUGAACGCUGGCGGUAGGCCUAACACAUGCAAGUCGAACGGCAGCACAGUAAGAGCUUGCUCUUACGGGUGGCGAGUGGCGGACGGGUGAGGAAUACAUCGGAAUCUACUUUUUCGUGGGGGAUAACGUAGGGAAACUUACGCUAAUACCGCAUACGACCUACGGGUGAAAGCAGGGGAUCUUCGGACCUUGCGCGAUUGAAUGAGCCGAUGUCGGAUUAGCUAGUUGGCGGGGUAAAGGCCCACCAAGGCGACGAUCCGUAGCUGGUCUGAGAGGAUGAUCAGCCACACUGGAACUGAGACACGGUUCAGACUCCUACGGGAGGCAGCAGUGGGGAAUAUUGGACAAUGGGCGCAAGCCUGAUCCAGCCAUACCGCAUGGGUGAAGAAGGCCUUCGGGUUGUAAAGCCCUUUUGUUGGGAAAGAAAAGCAGCAGGUUAAUACCCCGCUGUUCUGACGGUACCCAAAGAAUAAGCAUCGGCUAACUUCGUG